UUGGUGUGGGAGAAUUGUAAGAGGAGGAAUGCAAAAACGCUGCUUUGGCUCUUCUUGCACAGCAUUAUACUUCCGUAGCAAAUAGAGUAAUUUCAAGAACUUGGUAGAAAAACUCAACACGUGCACAUACGUAAGUGGCAUUUGUUUCACGCCAACAGAUGUGCUAGUUUGCAAAAUAUUCAUACCAUAUGUCGAUUUCUAAUUAAUCGUGAAUCUUAUGAUGUUCCAGAGUGCAAUUACUC
rnacentral:lncRNA from 1 species